rnacentral:rRNA from 1 species
AUGCUCCGCCUCCGAAGCUCCAUCCUCACCCAUCUCGCCAUCCCCUCGUCCUCCGCCUAUCCCUGCUCCUCUCUCCGCCGCCUCCUCUCCGCCACCGCGCCCCCCAUUUCCCCAAACCCUAGCAGCUUCGCCGUCGAGGACUACCUCGUCGGCACCUGCGGCCUCACCCGGCCCCAAGCCCUCAAGGCCUCCGCCAAGCUCUCCCACCUCAGGUCCCCCGCCAAGCCCGACGCCGUCCUCGCCUUCCUCGCCGGCCUCGGCCUCUCCGGCGCCGAUGCCGCCGCCGCCGUAGCCAAAGACCCGCGAUUACUCUGCGCCAAAGCGGACAAAACCUUGGCCCCCGUCGUCGACGGGCUCACCGGCCUCGGCCUCUCGCGUCCUGAGAUCGCGCGCCUCCUCUCGCUCGCCGGCAGCGAAUUCCGCUGUAGAUCCAUAAUCUCCAAGCUGCAGUACUUGCUGCCUCUCUUCGGGUCCUCCGAGAACCUAUUCCGAGUGCUCAAGAGCGGCUCCCACCUUCUCUGCUCCGACCUCGAGAGGGUUGUCAAACCCAACAUCGCGUUCCUGCAGGAGUGCGGGCUAGGUGCUUGUGAUAUUGCCAAGUUGUGCAUCCCUGUGUCGAGGGUGCUCGUCACCAACCCCGAGCACGUCCGGAUGAUGGUGGCAUGUGCCGAAAGAUUGGGUGUGCCCCGUGGCUCUCGGAUGUUCAGGCACGCGCUUCAAGCUGUCGCCUUUCUCAGCAAAGAGAAGAUUGCUGCCAAAGUGGAGUUCAUGAAGAAUACAUUCAGGUGGUCAGAUGCCGAGGUCAGCAUUGCUCUGUCUAAGGCUCCGGUCGUGCUAAGGAGGUCAAAGGAACAUCUGCAGCGCACUUCCAAUUUUCUCAUCUCCGAGGUUGGCUUGGAACCGGCUUACAUUGCCCGUCGUCCAGCAUUGAUCACUUACAGCCUGGAAGGCAGGCUCCGACCGCGGCACUACGCUGUGAAGUUUCUCACAGAAAAUGGAUUGCUAGAUCACGGCCGGAGCUACUAUGUAAUUUUCACGAUGACUGAGAAGGUUUUCGUGGAAAAAUACAUAUGCCCUCACCAGGAAGCUGCGCCGCACAUUGCCAAAUACUAUGCUGCCGCUUGUCGAGGGGAACUGCCUGCCCGCUAG